rnacentral:misc_RNA from 1 species
CGCAGCCGCGGUAAUCCCAGCUCCAAUAGCGUAUAUUAAAGUUGUUGUGGUUAAAAAGCUCGUAGUUGAACCUUGGGCCUGGCUGGCCGGUCCGCCUCACCGCGUGUACUGGUCCGGCCGGGUCUUUCCCCCUGUGGAACCCCAUGCCCUUCACUGGGUGUGGCGGGAAAACGGGACUUUUACUUUGAAAAAUUAGAGUGCUCCAGGCAGGCCUAUGCUCGAAUACAUUAGCAUGGAAUAAUAGAAUAGGACGUGUGGUUCUAUUUUGUUGGUUUCUAGGACCGCCGUAAUGAUUAAUAGGGACAGUCGGGGCAUCAGUAUUCAAUCGUCAGAGGUGAAAUUCUUGGAUUGAUUGAAGACUAACUACUGCGAAAGCAUUUGCCAAGGAUGUUUUCAUUAAUCAGGAACGAAAGUUAGGGGAUCGAAGACGAUCAGAUACCGUCGUAGUCUUAACCAUAAACUAUGCCGACUAGGGAUCGGACGAUGUUAUUUUUGUACUCGUUCGGCACCUUACGGAAAC